UAUAGUCCUCGCUUUUCACGACUGUAAGGCGGUCGUGGAAUAAGAGCUGGGCAAGACCGGUGCCAGCCGCCGCGGUAAUACCGGCAGCUCAAGUGAUGACCGAUAUUAUUGGGCCUAAAGCGUCCGUAGCCGGCCACGAAGGUUCAUCGGGAAAUCCGCCAGCUCAACUGGCGGGCGUCCGGUGAAAACCACGUGGCUUGGGACCGGAAGGCUCGAGGGGUACGUCCGGGGUAGGAGUGAAAUCCCGUAAUCCUGGACGGACCACCGAUGGCGAAAGCACCUCGAGAAGACGGAUCCGACGGUGAGG
rnacentral:rRNA from 1 species